rnacentral:lncRNA from 1 species
UCUUGCUUUAAUUUACUGCACUUUAUAAACACGAAAACAAAAUAAAAAGAGUGUGUAGAUAAGUGUGUUUUAUUUUUUCUGCUAAGUUUAAUCUCUAGAAAAAAUAAAAAGACCAAAAAAAUAUGCAUGAUGGAAAUGAUGAACAGUUGCUCUGUUUGCUUACUUACAAGUACCUAGCUUCUAUAUUAGAGUUCUUCCAGAAAUUACUAAAACUGAAAUUACUAUCUUUGGAAAGCAUAAAACUAAAGUCUAGGUAAGAGAAAGGCAUGAUAUAAAGUUGAGCUACUGUUUAUCUUGUUCCUACUACACUAAGUUCUAGAGAUUUAUUUUUGAAAACUUCCAAAUCACAUGAUGAGUUCCUAGCAUAACAAAAUUACCUACCACAGCCAUACUUGCUAUAACAUCUUUCACUAUAUUCACAUUGAGUUUGAUCGAGCUGUGUAGAUCCUUAGGAGCUUUUCAUGUGGUUAAAUUAAGAUAUUCACUUGCACACAUCUACCACAGCAUUCAUCAUCAAAAUUGCUAAAAAUAUAUUAUCACUCACAGUCCCAAAUAUUGUUAUUCUCUCUCUCUAAAAAGAUUCAAUGCAGAAGAGGCAUGGGUUAUGCAAAAAUAUACGAGGAAAUAAAAAAGGGGCAAGUGCCCAGAACCUCGAAAAAGAAAGAAAAAGAGUGAGACGAGAGGUAAAAAUGGACAAGUGUCCGAAGUAGAAUUAGGGGUACAAAGAUGCCCACUUGAGCGGAAAAAAUGGACAAGUGUCCGACAGUAGAAUUAGGGGUAUCCACUACCCACCUGAAAAAAAAGAAGAAAAAGAGAUAGCCCAUGUUCUCCCAAAGGAAAGAUCAAAGAAGAGGAGAGAUAGCAAUAUGAGGAGCAAUGAGAACUAAAUUUUAUUAUCACUUAUGCAUUUUCACCAUCACUAUCAUUUACUCCAUCACACAUGCACAUCUUGAUUUAAUUAUAUGCUGAGUUCCUUUGGAUCCAUGGCUCGAUUAGACAACAUAUGUAUGAGCUAUUUUUCACUCCUAUGAGCUACACUUAAAUAUUCCAUUAGCUAUAGGUAAGUGAUAUCAUGGUAAGGAUCCACAAAUACCACAUAUAGAGAGACUUGAGAGAAUCAUUGCUGGGAACUCUGAGUUUUAUUUUGAAAACCUAUGAAAAACUCUAGAACAAAAGUGAAGUAUAGACAAGAGGGAUUGUGCUUGACUUAACUAUUUUGUCUUUUGAUUACUUAAGAUUAAGUGCAGGUACUAAACUCCAUAACACUUCACUUUAAUCUGGAAGAAUUUUUAUGUAAAAGCAUGUGUGCCUG